rnacentral:rRNA from 1 species
GAUGAACGCUGGCGGCGUGCCUAAUACAUGCAAGUCGAGCGAACGGACGAGAAGCUUGCUUCUCUGAUGUUAGCGGCGGACGGGUGAGUAACACGUGGAUAACCUACCUAUAAGACUGGGAUAACUUCGGGAAACCGGAGCUAAUACCGGAUAAUAUUUUGAACCGCAUGGUUCAAAAGUGAAAGACGGUCUUGCUGUCACUUAUAGAUGGAUCCGCGCUGCAUUAGCUAGUUGGUAAGGUAACGGCUUACCAAGGCAACGAUGCAUAGCCGACCUGAGAGGGUGAUCGGCCACACUGGAACUGAGACACGGUCCAGACUCCUACGGGAGGCAGCAGUAGGGAAUCUUCCGCAAUGGGCGAAAGCCUGACGGAGCAACGCCGCGUGAGUGAUGAAGGUCUUCGGAUCGUAAACCUCUGUUAUUAGGGAAGAACAUAUGUGUAAGUAACUGUGCACAUCUUGACGGUACCUAAUCAGAAAGCCCCGGCUAACUACGUG